GAUUGUUAUAUCUGCUAUUUGCCAAUGAAGUGUUUUAGAUGUGGAUAAAACCUGGAAUGCUGAUUGGCUGCUUUUUGGGUAGCUGAUAAAGUUAAGUCGAUUGCUGUUUCUCCCGUGUUGUUUUUGUUUAGUUCCCUGGUCGGCCGGUCUCAGAAGUGUGCUGCAUGGUGGCAGCAAGUGUACAUUGUGAACUGUUUGUGUACGAGUCCGGUUGGCUGGGGUUCUGUUAUCUUUUUCUUUUGUUUCUUUUUUUAUUGAUGACCAUCUUCCCAGCCUUAUGUCAUUAGCUCGACUCAUUGCGUUUGUAUUCUGUGUGUGCAUACCUUUGGGGUAUGGGAUCCAUGUUUGCUGUGGUGGUUUUUUGAGUUAUGAGUGAAGGGUUAUGUUUUGAGUUGUUGUUCUAUUUUGAAUUGUGGUGUUUAUUUCCAUUGAUUUUUGGUUCUUUCUUUUUACUGUCAUUAAAAAAUGGAUGUUUCCUUAUACCUUAAAGGUUUGCCACACGCAACGGAACCAGCUACUAUAGAGAGCUUUUGAGCUGGUGGUUAACAUCUUGGAGAGCUGAGAUUAAUUUUGGAUGAGUUAUUUAAAUAAAUCAUUUCAUUUCUAUGUUUAAUUGUGUACAUUAUUUGUGCCCUAUUGUUUGUAAUAAACCUUUUUUGUUGUACUUUGAGUAGUCCAAAGGGUUUUGACUUUGUGCCUGUGCAUUAAACAAGGUAUUCUCUUUCAAAUUAGUUGGAAGGGGUGGCGUAGUGCUACAAUUUGGCUUAGUCGGCAGGGUGGAUCAAUAUAGAUGUACUUAUUUCUUUGGUAGGCUGGGAAGUAGGUAGUGUUUUUUUGUUUGGUAAUUAUUUUUUUGUAGGGAGAAACAGCGAUUGACUUCGUGGGACCUUGAUAUUGUCACUGGACAGGAUCUGCUGUUGUGUAAGCUGAUCUGCUGUAGCAAUGGCAGAGGAGCUGCAGAACUUAUGGGAACAGUUGGAGCAACUGCAUGUGGAAAAUGAGAGACUGAAACAACAGACACAAAAUGGAGCUUCAGCAGGUGGUGUUCCAAGUUCAACACUUGAGGGUAAUGGACAAAGGAGGGAACAAGCUUUGUACUUGCCUAGGAAGAGAAAAUGUCCCAAAUUUUCUGGUAAAGUGGGAUCUCUGCCUAUUGAAGAUUGGAUUGAAGAGGUGGAGAGUUGUAUUAGAGGGAGACACAUGUCAGAGUGGGACAAAGCUGUGUUUGUUUAUGAUCAUUUAGAGGGGGAA